UAGGCUAGGGGAGGAGGAUUCUGUGUCAGAGAAGGGCAGGCACCUGGUGAGGGGUGGGAGCAGUACCCUGGUGCUUAAUAAAUGUGGGGAUUUUUAUGCUGGAACCCAAACCAGAAAGAUUUUCUGUGUCUUCCUCCAAAAAGUGGGGGAUAUCUAUCUUUCUGAGCUAGUAGAGCUCCUGGGAUGUGAGCUGUAGCCAGCACCACGAUUGCAAAUUGCACAAACUCCAAUCACAGACAGCUGGAACACUGCAGGUCUAACACUGAGAUGGCAGCAGACUGAGAGACUUCUCCUCAUGGAAGCAAAUCUUCCAAUCUCCUUCCAGAUGAUUUACCCAUGGGAAAAGCAGUCCCUUCAACUGGAAUAUCAGAGAACUUCCAGAGUCUUUCUCCCACGUAAAAGUGAUGACCAUCUCUUCAGAAAAACUUUGUGUUUCCUGGACUAUUUAACAGGAAAAUACUCCUUUUCUAAAGUCUGUGAAUUGAAGCUCUGUCCAACUUAUUGAUUUCUUCUGGGCAACUCUUUGGCACCAAACUGGAAGGGUCAUGCAGCUGGGAAUGUGCCAACGCUUCACACUUGCAUGUCCAUGAUGGCACCUCUCUGAUUGAACCUCCCUCCUUGCAUCACCUUUGGGGCUGCUUCAAACAAAGAUACUCCUGCCUUUGGUGAGGAAGAUGGAGUUUUAUAAUGGAGAAAUAGCCUGUUGAUAGUAGUUAAUCUCCUUGUUUAAAGAAAAAAAGAGCCAUUUCAUCUUCUAAUUUAAUGAUAAAUUGCAGUGAUUCAUCAGGGAAGGAGGGUUUAUUAAUAGAGAGGAUAAUAAAUGGGCUGCAGAGAAAUAUGAGAAAAUAGUUUUGUCAAAUAAGAGACUUAAGGAGAAAAAAUGCAGAGCUUGAAGUCAGAACUGGAAUCUUCAGAAUCAUUGGUACCUCUCUGUACCCCUCACAUCAAAUCAAGGACCUUCUCUCCUUGUGUCAGACUUGCUGCUUUAGGUUAAAUUCAGACUGUAAAUGAUCCAAGAACAGAAACACCUACAGACCUAUGACAUCUCUCCAGAUCCAGAACAGGCAUGAAAAUACUCCAGGAUUGUGCUCAGUUGAGGGGAACUGGAACUGUCUAUGAAUUUGGGUUGAACUUAAGGAAUUGUUUCUGACAAGGCUUCCAACUGCAAGAUGAAAAAUACAAAAUACUUUUUUUUAAUAGAAAAUUUUGGAAUUUCAGGGUCUGGUAUUCACUUUGCAGAGAUGGUGUAGGCAAAGCCACCCAUGCAGUUAUCUCCCUUCAGUACCAUGAAAUGGGAUUCUUAGGUUUGGGUUAAUAGUUACUGAACUUUGACGUCUGUGCCUGCAAAUGCUGUUUAAAUUUGCUGGGGACAAAAACUGGGAAUGAGAUUUUUCAAAAGCCACUGACAAAGUCCUUGUUGUUAGGCAAUGUUUGCUUAGGAGUGAAGAUUUUUUCCUCCAGAUAGAGGGGAAAGUAAAGCUGCAUUUCCCUUUUCUAGCAGGGCUUUUAUUGAACAAGGGACAGGCAGAAGCUGUUGAUCUUUUGAGAACAUCUACCCCUUCCUGUCCUUUGCUUCCCUCAGGGGAGACUGAGGUAGAAUAUAUUUCCUGUAGGGCACCUCAGAGGUUCCAUUUGGACACAUAAAUGAGAGGCUUUAAAGUGUUGUUUUGGUGAACCAAAAAACCCCUGACAUUUUGAUCAGAAUUUUGUGGAUUUUUCCCCAUUUGGGCCAGCAGUUAAACUGAUUCUCCAGCUCCCAGCUGCUUUCCAGGCCCCAGUGCUGGUUCUAACCAGGCUGGAACAGCCCAGCGUUGUGAAAUGGGUGAUCCUCCUGAUGCUCGUUAACAAACAGUUAUUAAUUGUGCUUGCUUUGUGCCUCCUUUGAAAGAGGAAAAAGGUUGGGAGGUGCAAUACUCAGCUUCUCUUUGCCUUGGAGAAGAGGAGAAUAUGGGUCAGGGAGAGGCAUCACCUGCAGUGGCAGGGGAGGGCUACCCGUGUGAGUGAUGCUAUUUAAGGAAACAGAAGGGGGGGGAGAGGGAAAAUCCCUCUAUUAACAAACUCAUUAGUGCUGGGACAAGGCAGACCAAAUUGCUCUUCAGAAAAGCACUGUCUAGCUGGAUUUAUUAUUCUCUGUAAUUAGGGCCAAAACAGGAUGGAGUGUGGUACAAGCAGGGGCUGAGAGAGGAAAUGUGGCCUGUUCAAAGCCAAUUAUUUGUAAUUACUCAAGUCAAGAUGUGACAUUUACACCAAGGAGAGAACAGGACCACAAUGGUGUUCCCUCACAUCAAGAGGCAGUGCUGUGCUUGCAGGCUGUCUGCAGACCAGAAACACUGUGAGGGAGAGGGUUUAAAGGGUUUCUGUGUGACAGAUGAGAGGUGGGGUGCCUGGACACAUUUGUGUGCUGAUAUUUAGGUUGCACCGGGGGAGGUGGGUAUUUGUCUUGGCUUGUAUGAACCCAGCAGCUCUGGGCACCUUUCACAGGCUGGCAGAGGUCAGAGCUGGGCAUCCUCUGAGAAAAAGAGCCUUGUGUGGAAGUGACCCCAAGCCUCAGCCGCAGUUGCUGUUGGAUCCCACAAGGCUUUCCAGGGAGCAUUUCCUCUGGAUUUUUGUUCUUGGUGCCCUGCAGUACCCGCCCUGGUGCUGAGCAGCAAAGAGAGGGGCAGAGCCUCUCAUGGCAGGGAACAGGAGCUCCAGCUUCAUCUGCCCCAGCAGAGCUGCCAGCAAAGCUGUCCUUUGCAGAAACUGCUGCAGAAGGCAGAAAACACGGAUUCCCCAGGGAAAUCUGCGCUUAGUGCCUGCCCGGGAGAGGCUCUGCAGGCACUAGUUGCAAAAGCUUUUGUCUCUGCGUCUUCAAACACAGCAGCCUGAGGGGUUUCUUUGAAAGAGGCUUUUUGGUGUGCUUCUUUCAAGUGGCAGGAGAUGUGUGCCUGAGCUGCAGGUGGUCAGCUCCAGUCGGAGCAGUGUGUUUGCAGGGGCUGGCAAUUCCAAACUCUCUGAGCAGAGAGGAAACAUCAGAGAGAUUUGAGGCUUCUCCGUGCCAGGAUGUGGCACGGACUUUGGAAAGAGCACAAACUCAAAAUGCUUUCAUCAAAAAUGUGUAAACGUCUCUGUGGAGAUUCACAGCUGGUUUUAAAGGUUAUUUUUUUUUAAAAUAUAAGUUAUUGAUCAGAAUAUAGUAAUAUUUAAGUCUUGAUUUUAGCAGUGUAUGCUUAAAAUGCAUUUAAAGCAAAUAUAAUAACCUAAUCUGCUGUUGUUCCCCACCUCCUUUGCCUCCCUCACUGUGCAAUUGUACUCUUCAUUUUGCAAAUCCAACUCACACUGUCCUGUGCAGGUUUCUAACCAUCCCAUCCAGGUUUACUUCCAACAAGUUUAGAUCUCCUGGGUCCCACGGCAGCCAUGAGCAGGACAGUUUGAAAACCCUGCCAGCUCUCUCUCAUCUGUCUGAAAUUGUCUUGAAAACCCCUGCAGAGCUCUGGUGCUUUCAGUUCCUUGGCUGAUCCUAGAAAGGUUGUUCUGAGCCAGAAAAGGUCCAGCUAUGAAAUGCUGUCUCCAACAGUACCAGAAGUGGGUGCUCGUGGGAGAGUUGGAAGAACAAGGCAAGGGUUUCCAGCAGUUUGCAGCUCAGCAGCUGCUUAAACCACACUUAAUAUCUUUGUCUUGAUGGAUGUUUUCUCCCCUGAACUUCUCCAACUGCUUUCUGAAUCCUGGUAAGUAUUUGGCAUCCUGAACCUCCUGUGGCAAGCAGUUCCAUGGCUUAGCAAAGUGCUGUGUGAAGCUUCUCUUCUGGUCUGUUUGAACCUGCCACUUGCUACUCCACUUGAUGUCACUGUGAGAGUUGUGAGAGACAGUGAACAAUUCCCCUUUUUACAUUGCUAAAAUGGUAAAUGUCACGCUCCUGCUCAGCUCUCUCUCUUUUCUGCUCUGCUCAGUGCUUGGCUGCUCAGGUGUUUCACAGAAUGGCUUGGGUUGGAAGGGACCUUAGGGAUCAGCCAGUUCCAACCCCCUGCCACAGGCAGGAAUGCCACCCACAAGAUGAGAUUGCCCUGCUGGAGUGUUUGGAGGGGAGAGGGAUAACUCCUCACACUGAUCUGCAUAGUGGGAAAGGAAUGUCUCAGUUCAGCAGGAUGGAGAGCUCUCUCCUGACCCAUUAAAGCUCAGCUUCCUGGGAAGUGCCAGACACUCAUUCCAUCACUGAUGACUGGAAGAGACCAAAGUUCUUGUGCUGCUGUCUCUGGCACUGUGACCUCAUUUGACACCAUCACUAGAGCUUUGUGAUCUUUUAUGUACCACAGAAAUAUCCAAAAGAUGACUCAAUUAGCUCUGUG